AGAAUUUACCAAUUAUUGAAGGACUAAAAGUGUUAUCCCAAAUCUUUAUAAUAAAAAUUAGUUGGUAAUAUGGUACAUAUGAUAACGAACCAACUAUUACAAAUUAAAAUUCACUAAUAAUGUAUAAUUAUAUUUACACUUAUAUAUUUAUAUAAUCUAAAUAAUAAACCACCAAAGGAUGCGGUGCAAUGAAUGUGGCUGCUUCUCCCUUAAUCAAAGGUAUCGGGUUCGAGUCCUGGGUAUAAAUAAAUCCUUGAUAGGGAGCACUUCCCCCGAAUGAGCCCUACACGGCACGAAUUCCCAAUGCGGACACGGGACACCGGGUGAGAAACCCAAAAACAUAAAUAUAUUAUAAUUUAAGUAAUUAUAAGUUUAGGAAAAAGACAGUAAUGAUCAAUGAUGAGUAUAUAAAGCUCAUCUCUGAACCAUUGAAAUAAACCAAGAAAAUCCAUGGAGACUCCCUCCCAAGAUAUCAAGAACAAAGGGGACGAUGCCCAAGAAAAACCAAAGGUGGAAAAUGAGGAGAUGGAAGGAAAAGAGGAAGGACAUUACAUGAGGAAAUAUUUUUCCCCAACUCCCUCUAUCUCACGCUUUUUCCUUUUUAGAAUGACACUUUUCUUUUGAAAAACUAUUUAAUCUUGACAUUUUCAUUUAACUCUUAAUGACAUGACUUGCUGAGACCCAAUCCCCAAGUAUGGACGACAAAAUUGAUCCAAACCCAUGUAGCCCGCCUCACACGAUCAAGUUUUAAUAAAUUUGAGCUAGAGUGGUUUUAAGGGA